rnacentral:lncRNA from 11 species
GCAAAAGCCAGUCCAACAACUGUCCAUAGAUCCAUUUGUCAGGGCCUCCUCUGUUGCCCUGGUGUAUGAAAUUGAUUUUGUGAGAAGAAACUAAUCAAAGAGUAAGCAAUUACAAAAAAAAAACUUUCUAUCAAAAAAACCAGAAAACAAACAAAAGGGAAGCAUUUCCAUUAUAAAAACAAACUUCAGAGAAUAAAGUUACUGGUUUCACAAGUUUUAGUUGAACAUGUCCUGUUUUCCAGAGUGUGUAUACAGACACACACAGAUCCAUGUGUUCCCUUCUCCGUGAAUGCUUAUGUUCCAAGGAAUGACACCAACACAUUUGAGCAGGCAUCUGGAAAUGGAAGACACAGAGUUAAUGGAGAAACGAGAGGGAAUGAAAACCAGAGCAAUUCAAAACAACAAUUAUCAUCAUGACACAGGUCAAGCACCCAGGAGUCAGGACUGUUUCACAGAACAGAACAGAAAAGUUGUUUCCUUUUUCCACCCUGCAAAUCACUCCAUGGGAAAAGAUGUUCACUGUUUCUAGCAAGAGUCUGUUUCUUCUGAUUUUGAUGCAAGAAGAGGAGAAGCAGCCCUGAGUGAAAUUUCUCUAUGAUUCAACUCUUAAAAGCAUUGGAGCUUUUCCGAUAUUGGGAUGUGACAAACCUUUGUGCAAAGUUGGGGCUCUUUGACUCUCUCUGCUCAUUCCUUCAGUUGCUUCUUCUGACCAUAUUUGUCCUGAAAAAAAUAGCUUUCUGGAUUUUUUGGUAUGUUUUUGUCUAAUGGGAAGCACAUAUAUACAAAAAAUAAUUUUUCUGUCUCUCUCUUUCUCUUUCCCAAACACACACACACACUAUUUAUUAAACUACCAAAUUGUAAUUCUAAUCUAUAAAAAUAGCCUGGGAGCGG